UUGCUUCAGUAGCACAUAUACUAAAACUGGAAUGAUGCAGAGAAGGUUAGCAUGGUCACUGUGCAAGGAUGACACACAAAUUCAUGAAGCGUUCCAUAUUUAA